AGUGAACGCUGGCGGUAGGCCUAACACAUGCAAGUCGAACGGCAGCACAGAGGAGCUUGCUCCUUGGGUGGCGAGUGGCGGACGGGUGAGGAAUACAUCGGAAUCUACUCUGUCGUGGGGGAUAACGUAGGGAAACUUACGCUAAUACCGCAUACGACCUACGGGUGGAAGCAGGGGAUCUUCGGACCUUGCGCGAUUGAAUGAGCCGAUGUCGGAUUAGCUAGUUGGCGGGGUAAAGGCCCACCAAGGCGACGAUCCGUAGCUGGUCUGAGAGGAUGAUCAGCCACACUGGAACUGAGACACGGUCCAGACUCCUACGGGAGGCAGCAGUGGGGAAUAUUGGACAAUGGGCGCAAGCCUGAUCCAGCCAUACCGCGUGGGUGAAGAAGGCCUUCGGGUUGUAAAGCCCUUUUGUUGGGAAAGAAAUCCAUCUGGUUAAUACCCGGGUGGGAUGACGGUACCCAAAGAAUAAGCACCGGCUAACUUCGUGCCAGCCGCCGCCGUAAGAC
rnacentral:rRNA from 1 species